rnacentral:rRNA from 1 species
AAACCAACAGGGAUUACCUCAGUAACGGCGAGUGAAGCGGUAACAGCUCAAAUUUGAAAGCUACCAACAGGUCGCAUUGUAAUUUGUAGAAGAUGCUUUGGGUGUUGGCCUAGUCUAAGUUCCUUGGAACAGGACGUCAUAGAGGGUGAGAAUCCCGUAUGUGAUUAGUGCCAUCCCCCGUGUAAAGCUCUUUCGACGAGUCGAGUUGUUUGGGAAUGCAGCUCAAAAUGGGUGGUAAAUUUCAUCUAAAGCUAAAUAUUGGCCAGAGACCGAUAGCGCACAAGUAGAGUGAUCGAAAGAUGAAAAGCACUUUGGAAAGAGAGUUAAACAGUACGUGAAAUUGUUGAAAGGGAAGCGCUUGCAAUCAGACUUGCGGGCGGUUGAUCAUCCGAGGUUCUCCCCGGUGCACUCGAUCGUCCUCAGGCCAGCAUCGGUUUCUGUGGUGGGAUAAAGGCUGUGAGAAUGUGGCUCUUCGGAGUGUUAUAGCUCACGGUGCAAUGCCGCCUACGGGGACCGAGGACCGCGCUUCGGCUAGGAUGCUGGCGUAAUGGUUGUAAGCGACCCGUCUUGA